AGUGAACGCUGGCGGCGGGCCUAACACAUGCAAGUCGAACGGCCACACAAUAAGCGUUCUCCCCUACCGGUGGCGGCUGGCGGGCGAGUGAGGCGUGCAUAGCAUUCUUAUUUUUCGUGGAGGAUAUCGUGAGGCCGCUUCCAAUACUACCUAAUACGUCCAACGGCAUGGAUCAAUGGUUCAACGCGCCUUUGCCGACUGAUAGAGCUGGUGCCGUGUCGGAUUAGCGAGUUGGUAAGGUAACGGCUCACCAAGGCGACGAUGCGUAGCUGACCUGAGAGGAUGAUCAGCCACACUGGAACUGAGACACGGUCCAGACUCCUACGGGAGGCAGCAGUGGGGAAUAUUGGACAAUGGGCGCAAGCCUGAUGCAGCCAUGCCGCGUGAGUGAAGAAGGUCUUCGGAUCGUAAAGCCCUGUUGUUGGGAAAGAAAAGCAGCAGGUGAAAACACGGCUGUUCUGACGGUACCUAAAGAAUAAGCACCGGCUAACUUCGUG
rnacentral:rRNA from 1 species